rnacentral:misc_RNA from 1 species
GAUGAAGAACGUAGCGAAAUGCGAUAAGUAAUGCGAAUUGCAGAAUUUCCGUGAGUCAUCGAAUCUUUGAACGCACAUUGCGCCCGCUAGUAUUCUGGCGGGCAUGCCUGUUCGAGCGUCAUUUCAACCAUCAAGCCCUAGGCUUGCGUUGGAGCCCUGCGGCUGCCGCAGGCUCCCAAAUCCAGUGGCGGGCUCGUCGUCGUACCGAGUGCAGUAAACAUCCUCGCUCAGGGAACGUGACGGGUUCUUGCCGUGAAACCCCCCACAUAUCAAGGUUGACCUCGGAUCAGGUAGGAAUACCCGCUGAACUUAAGCAUAUCAAUAAGCGGAGGA